ensembl:snRNA U6 U6 spliceosomal RNA
GUGUUAUCAUCUCGGCAACACAUAUAUAAAAAGUUGGGAUGACACAGAGAUUAACAUGAUUCCCGUGCAAGGAUGGUAUGCAAAUUCUUGAGGUGUUCCGUGUAUGU